rnacentral:rRNA from 1 species
AUUGAACGCUGGCGGCGUGCUUAACACAUGCAAGUCGAGCGGCAGCGCGGGGGGCAACCCUGGCGGCGAGCGGCGAACGGGUGAGUAAUGCUUCGGAAUCUUCCUCGUAGUGGGGAAUAACCUGGGGAAACUCAGGCUAAUACCGCAUACGAACUACGGUUGAAAGCAGGGGAUCGCAAGACCUUGCGCUAUGAGAUGAGCCGAAGUCGGAUUAGCUAGUUGGUGAGGUAAAGGCUCACCAAGGCGACGAUCCGUAGCUGGUCUGAGAGGAUGAUCAGCCACACUGGGACUGAGACACGGCCCAGACUCCUACGGGAGGCAGCAGUGGGGAAUAUUGGACAAUGGGCGAAAGCCUGAUCCAGCCAUGCCGCGUGAGUGAUGAAGGCCCUAGGGUUGUAAAGCUCUUUCAACGGUUGAAGAUAAUGACGGUAACCGUAGAAGAAGCCCGGCUAACUUCGUGUCCAGCAGCCGCGGUAAUUGAC